UGGUGCCCUGGUCAGCUCAUCCCAAGAGAGACCAUCCUCAAAGCGUGACGGUGCAUUUCUGGGUCUCUCCAGCCAGACCUGCUUGUCCACGCUGAACUCCCCUGGUUGUCCCUUUGCUGGGUGCCCACCAGUUAAUGCGAUCCAGUACUGGGGAUGUUCAGCCUGGUAUCGCUGAGGGACACCAGCGACGCAGGUGCCAUGGCAGGUCUCUGGCCGGCAGCAACAUCCAGGGACCGUUCCCUCCAGGGAUGCUUGGAGCCCCGUAGCUCCUCAGAAGACCUCUUCCAGCAGGAGCCCAGGAUGAGUGACCCGUCCCUGUGUCCCAGGAAAAGCUCCUGACCUCAGUUUUUUACUGAGCUGGAAGCACAUGCAAACUCCCAUCUCAGGGCUUUGGAUGCUGUGGCCACAAGGUUCACCCACCGUGGCAAGAGGAUCUGCGCAGGAGGUGGUUUGAGAGCCCCUGAACUCGUUGCACACAGGAUGCUUCGGUGCCAACGGCUGGUCUUUUUCAGACGAGGGACGUCGGAAGCGAAGGAGCGUCCUACCUCUGACAUCUCCACUGAGCCGUAUUAUUAGUUUUGGCGAUUAAAUAGAAACCCGU